CACCUUUGUGUGGACUGCCAAGGCACCCGUUUCCUCGAAGGAAAACAUCUCACCACGUGGGGGUGUGUGUCUGGUAAGCACAGAACAAUCUGCUUUCCAGCCCCUUUCCCCCCUGGCCGGAACUCUGUGCCAGAUGCCGUCUGAACGUUGUAUAUGGCACCUGACUUCCUGAUUUUCCCUGUUGGACGAUUGUGCUUCAGCAAAGCUGGGAUGGGGGACACUUCAGUGCAGGCUGCCCUCGCCUUAAAACUGGGGUAACAGGUGUGUGACGCCAUACCCAGUCUGACUCUUGAAGGACAAGGGAGAAGGCAUUGGCCCAUAGCCAGCGCUGGUUGAGGGUGUCGGAAAACUGGAAAUGGAAGCGACAAACCCAGAAUCUAGCAGAGCAUUGACGGAGCAAAGGAGUGAGAAUUAUUAGCAUCUCUAUGCUUUAACAAAUAUGAUCAAAUCCAGGUUGACACUAGCUGGAAAAAGGCCAUUCAAGAGCAGCUGGCCAGAAGACACGCCUCAACAAUUCCUUUUAGAAACUGAAGUCAAGGGCCGAGGAGUCGUUCAGUGGGUCAAGUGCUUGCCGUUAUGAGAGCGAAGACACGAGUUCAGAGCCUCGGAACCCACGUGAAGCCAGACACGGUAGCAUGCUUCUACAAUAUCAAAGCUCCUAGAGCAAAGUUGGAAAGCAGACACAAGAAUCCCAGAAGCCCAAGAGCCUGUUAGCCUGGUGUACACAGGAGUGAAUAGAAGAUGCUGUCUCGAGCAAGGUUGUCCUCCAUAUAUGCGCAAUGACAUGUGUCUGUCUGUCUGUCUGUCUGUCUGUCUGUCUGUCUCUCUCUCUCAUACACACACACACUCAAACACGAACCUCCUAUCAUGUACACAAGAGUUCUAAAAAGCCCUGAAGCCAUAUCAAGUAUCUUUUUUUUCGGUAAGAAAAUUUUCAAUAGUAUACAAACAAGUGAAUGUUAUUUCUAGUUUAUUCUUGAACCAAUGAUCAAGGAAUAAAAUUUUUCUUGACACCAAUGAGGGUGGAGACACACAUAUCAAAACUAGGGUCAAGAGGCAAGUUCACAAUAAUCAGUGAUGCGAACGGAGCGGAGAAGCUUAAAUACACAACUUCUUGCUGCAUCUCAAAGAACUAACAAGCCAAACUCCAAAUUAAGAGGAAAGAUAACAAAUAUCAGAUUGUAAGAAAGUGAAAUAGAUAAUAAAUAAGGUUUGCUUUCUAUUGCUAUGAUGCUCGUAACCCAAAGUAACUUGGGGAACAAAGUGUUUAUUUACACUUCCUAAUCACAGUCCAUCACUGAGCAAAGCCAAGGCAGGAACUCAAAAUGGCAGGAACCUGCAGGCAGGAACUAAGGCAAAGACCACGGAGGAGUGUGUUUGGAGUGGGAAGUCCCAAAUGGGACCAAAAGCAUUCAGGGAGGUUUGCUCUCGGUGCGCCGCUCAGUUUUCUUUCUUAUACAACUGGUAUCACCGGCGCAGGAGUUGCACCACCCUACACACCCAUCAUCAGUCAAGAAAAGGCAAGUCUUGAUUCAAGAUGGCGGUGGUCACCGGCCCCCGCAGGGCUGUGGCUGCUCCGAGGAGCCUGAGAGACCCACGGAGCCAUCAAAGGGAGGCGAGGUGGUGGAGGAUAAAACUGGAGAUCAUGCAGCAUCUCCAGAACAACUAAAACAGGCAGGUCUCGUGGGAAGAUGCUUGUGAGUUCAAGGCCACCUUGGUCUACAAAGCCAGUUCCGGGACAGCCAGAACUAUUACAACAGAAACCCUUUUCCUCUGCUGCUCGUCCUGCUGGGGGAGAGGAAAGCAAUGGUGCUCCCAGCAGGCUGCAAUCGUGAUGGUCAUGCCCAGGGUACUGGCGGAGCUGCUGAUGCUGAGGGCAGGGUGGUGGACAGCUGCCUGGUGUUUGAGCAGGUACCGCCUCUGAACACACUGCCCAGUUGCACAAUUGCCCUGACUGAACUGCAAGAUAUCCAAGGUGAAGAAUGCUUUAUUUUCUGGAGUAAGCCUUCUUGGAAGACCUCCCUUAGUCUGUGCUGCCACUGGGAACAGUGUUGGUGCCUGUGGUCCGUUGUGCCACCGGAUGUCAUGUUGAGGUCCAUGGUCUGUGCUGUUGCUGGAGGCCGUGUGUGGAUGUCUGUCCUUGCUGCGGCCAGAAACCGCGUGCAAGCUCAUGAUCUGUGCUGCUGCCAGCUGCUAAGGGCAGGGAAGAUGUUUUUACAAUGGUAUUGAUGACUGCAGACUCAUAAUUGAAAAAG